GUUUAAAUGUGUUGACAUUGUUGGUGUGGCGGCGAAGGUGUUCCCGCCCAAUUUAUACCUUAUAUCUCGGAUUUCUGGUUAAUAGGCGCCAUCAUGGGGGGUGAAAUAUUCGCGCAACAGGACCUCCAGCAAUUGAAAUAUGUCGAAUUGCUGAAAAUCUUCAAAGGCCGGGGAUUAAAAGCUGGGAGGAAGUUGAAGACAGAGAAGCUGAUAGAAGCCAUACUUGAAUCGCAGAAGAGCAGCGCCCUCGCAGUUAAUGCCGAGGCUGUGGUGGCUGCUCUGACAGAUGCUGCUUCAAGACAGCCUUUGAAGGAUAAUGACAAUGAAAAAUCACGUAGGAAGGAAGUGGGAUCAGCAGAGGAACUCUUGACAGACAUCCAAUUUCCUGACUCAUUUUCUGAAGACAAGGAUGAACCACAGGAGGUUAUAGCAACUUCGCCAAAGAAAGGUCGCAGAAAGAGCAAAUUGAUUAAAAAUGUUGUUGAGAAUGAUGGGCAAAUAACCAGGCGUCGGCGCACAGCAACAUUUGAAAUUGAAAAAAAGACCGAGAGCACAGCAGAAGAAACGCCUGGACCUCUGCCUAAGCGACGCAAGACUUCCACAUAUGAAGUGUCUGUUGAAACCAGUAAAUCCAAUACAAUAUCUGAUGUGUCACCAGAUAUCAGAAGUGAGGAGGCUAGUAAGGAGAGUAGUGAGCAACUGAAUAUAUUGGUACAAAAAUCUAACAAGAGACAGACAAGAGGUUCCCUAUCUAAUCGCUCUCCAGCUGUAGUUAGUAAUUGUCAGAUGUCUGUAAAAGAAUCUGGCUCCCAAUUGAACUUGACCACAGACAUGGACACUAAACCCAAAACAUCAGACACACAGAAGGUACUCAAAACAUCAGAAACACAGAGCACACCUAAGCGUAGGAGUUCAGCUAAGACGGCUACACCAUCUUCAACACGACAUUCCCAAGUUGGAGGAAAUCGUUUGAUCAAUACUCCGAAAAGCAACACGAAGCUCAAACAAGAUUCAAAAAUUGUUAAACCAAUGUUUACAGUUGGGAGAAAUUGCCCCCCACUUAAUGGAAAAGAGGGUUCUUCAUGUGGUGGCUCCAACAUUCCUCGGUUUCUGUCUUAUGCACGCAAACUAAAAGUACCCAAUUUUGCCAAAAUUCAUGAACGGGCAUUCAGUCGUAUGGAAGCACUUGAUGAUUAUGUCGAAAAGAAACAGAAGCGAACAGACACCACAGAUAGUGCAACUAAGAAACCACAGGAUGCAUCUGAGAAAGUGUUCCAGCCAACUGUUAUUAGCACCAGGAACUUAAAUCUCAAUUUUACUUCCCCAAGGUCCUCGGCUAGGAAGAUUCCAACUUUUUCAAAGCAUACAAGGGCUCUCUCUGAGAAGCCCAAACCUAAUCCAUCUCCGAAGGUUUUGCAAAGAAUACAAAAAACUCCUAAAGUUCCUAAAAUUCUUGAGACAAGAAAGAAAGCUUUACCAUCCAGCAGCAAGUCUGUCGAGUCUCAAAAAACUGUCAGCAAAAUUAUAGGUGUACGUCAAAGAUCACCUAAAGUAGCAAGACAACCCCUCGUUAACAAAACUCCAAGAAAAUCUAUUAGAAAUGCUGCAGCAGUUACCAAGAGCUCCCAAAAGCCUGAUCUGGUAUCUGCUUUGAAGGUCAUGUCAGUCAAGCAAGAGUCACCAUUAAGACGUAGUGCUUUGCCGACACUUCUUAAGGAAAAUGUUACGCCUGGGAGUCCAUGCUCGGCUGUCGGCAAGAGGCAGGAGUAUGACCCGAAGGCCACUAUUAAUAAGCCUCUAAACUACGUACCAUACAAGGGAGCCUUAAAACCGAUUAUGGACCGAGCUACAUUGAAGAAUAUGGCCGAAAGGAAACCGAAACUUAAAUCCACGUUCUGACCUGAUCCUGAAUGACAAAUAUGACAACUUGAAUGUGACAACGGGCAAAUAUGACAACUUGAACGUAAAGGUACUUAAAAACCACUCUUGGUCUAAAAGGCUAGGUGAGAGUAAGGAGCCAAUUAUCCCACCUCUACAUUUACUGAUGAACAAGCACUAGGGUCCAAAGACUGGCUCACCAUUUACGACUUUUCUCAACCUUGACAUUUCCUAUCACUCUGACCUUUCUAUUGUUUAUCAGGCAAGAAAUACGUGAGGGUCAGAAGAAGAUCCUAAAAGGCGUUCGAUUCAACAAAAGAUUUGAGCUACAGAUGGCUAAGAGAGGCAUUACUUUAUAAGAAGAAAACAACUUGACAGAAUUGUUCCUUGUGUUGCUAAAGGCAUAAUGCUUAAUUAUUAACUAUUUUUCAGCUUCUCCUUAACACAUUUAAAUUAAGUAUUCAGAUAUAUUUUUUCUUCAGAGGAUUCAUUCUUGUUAAUGGAUCCUUUGAUCCCUUUAUUAUUUUGUUUGACUAUUUCACAGUUUUCUUUGCAGUGCAAAGAAAACAAAUUAAGAUAAGAUUUUGUCUAUAAGGAUCUAUUAAAUUAGACCUUAGAAGUAAUAUCAUCUUCAGUGAAGUCUAUCGUCAACUUUGUGUUUUUCUUCGUUGUUAACACUGUGCUCUCUUCAACCAGGAUGUCCUACAAAAGGGAAAUUUAUUCUGUAUCUAUAGAAUUAUGACAAAAAAUAUUUAUUAGGCUUUUAGAAUUUUCUCUUGUGUGUUAUCUCCAAGGUAAGAAAAUUACUUUUGAUUAUAUGGUCUUGAAAGCAGUUGUAGAAAUGCUGUUAUUUCCUUGAUUAAUCUUGUCUGGAAUAUGAUGAACUUGGCAUAAAUUUGUAUUCUAAAUAACUGCAACAUUUUGGGUACCAAACAAAAAAAAAUUAUUUAUUCACCGAAGACAGGUACUUUAUAAAACAUGUUUGACAAAUAUAGAACAUGCUUAUUUAAGGAGAAGUGACAAUAUUCUCUGAGAUUUUUGCGACUGGUCUCUCUCUCUCUCUCUCUCUUUUGCAAUCAUAUAUUAGAAAAUCUGUGGGAGGAAUAUAGAAAUGUACGAAGAGGGAGCCUAAGGUUCGGGCAGUAGGAGUAAAAAAAAGAUGCGAGCUAGGUAUGUGGUGUAUAAAGGUAAAGAUGGAUACAGCAGAAACAUGCCACCAUGCUGACUUGUUAAAAGAUCAAUGAAGAUCAAGGUCUUGACUGGCAAAAUAAGUGAUGAGAAGAGGGAAUAAAAAUAAGUUUAAAUAAAGUACUUGGCCCAGGUUUGGGAGAGGCAAUAGCUAACCAAAGUAAAGUGAUUUAAUGUAAAAAAAAUGUAUUACUUGUGGAAGAAGUUGGGUUAGAAGUUGUGUGUACAAAAUUUUUUUUUUUUGGAAGAAAUAGUGUUAGGAUGUAAAAGAAAAAACAUAGGCAUCAUAAGAUAAAAAGUUAAUUGGUGCAUUUUUUGCAGUUGUGUUAACAUAAUGAUUUACAAAAUAUGAUCUUAGGCAAAAGAAUAACAGUAUCUGCCUUGAAAAAAUCAUGUGCGUGGGUUUUUCAAACUUGCUCUUAAUUUCUUCAAUUAAAUCACGUUACUUGUAAUUAGAGCUUAUGAAAUGUAAAUAUUAGUCUAACAAAUUCAGUAAUUACACAUCAUUUGGCUCAUAUACGUUAUUUUGAUAUAGUAGCAUUUAUUUUGUGUGUACAUAAGAUUCUUAUGGUAAAAGUAAUUUUAUGGAAAUAGUGUUAGCUAAAGUUCAGUCUUUGAUGCUUGUGAUGUCUCCUCAAGACAUUCAGGAGUUAUGAUAAGGGAUGACUGCUUUUAUAAGAUUUACAUAGACAUUAAUUCUUUGUGUGUAUCCUAACAAAGCCUGCAAUUUUAUUUUUGUAGGAUAGGCAUAUUGACUUUUUCAAGUUAUGGCGUAGAUAUGGUGCAAGUUACAUCAUAAGUUACAACUUGAAAGUAUGAGUAUUUUUAUAUCUACUGAUCGUGUAAAAUUCCAUGUAACAAUGUUUAACCAGAAGUGAACAUUUUUUGUAUUUGUUUUCUGUGUGAAUAGCCAGAGUGGUGCACUCUAAAACAAAUUAUAUAUUAAAUGUAUAUACAGUACACAUGAAAAAUACAAUACCAAUUAAA